rnacentral:rRNA from 1 species
UAGGGAAUCUUCGGCAAUGGGGGCAACCCUGACCGAGCAACGCCGCGUGAGUGAAGAAGGUUUUCGGAUCGUAAAGCUCUGUUGUAAGUCAAGAACGAGUGUGAGAGUGGAAAGUUCACACUGUGACGGUAGCUUACCAGAAAGGGACGGCUAACUACGUGCCAGCAGCCGCGGUAAUACGUAGGUCCCGAGCGUUGUCCGGAUUUAUUGGGCGUAAAGCGAGCGCAGGUGGUUUGAUAAGUCUGAAGUUAAAGGCUGUGGCUCAACCAUAGUUCGCUUUGGAAACUGUCAAACUUGAGUGCAGAAGGGGAGAGUGGAAUUCCAUGUGUAGCGGUGAAAUGCGUAGAUAUAUGGAGGAACACCGGUGGCGAAAGCGGCUCUCUGGUCUGUAACUGACGCUGAGGCUCGAAAGCGUGGGGAGCGAACAGGAUUAGAUACCCUGGUAGUCCACGCCGUAAACGAUGAGUGCUAGGUGUUGGAUCCUUUCCGGGAUUCAGUGCCGCAGCUAACGCAUUAAGCACUCCGCCUGGGGAGUACGACCGCAAGGUUG